AAGCGGCAAAGCUCAAAUUUGAAAUCUGGCACUUUCAGUGUCCGAGUUGUAAUUUGAAGAAGGUAUCUUUGGGUCUGGCUCUUGUCUAUGUUUCUUGGAACAGAACGUCACAGAGGGUGAGAAUCCCGUGCGAUGAGAUGUCCCAGACCUAUGUAAAGUUCCUUCGAAGAGUCGAGUUGUUUGGGAAUGCAGCUCUAAGUGGGUGGUAAAUUCCAUCUAAAGCUAAAUAUUGGCGAGAGACCGAUAGCGAACAAGUACAGUGAUGGAAAGAUGAAAAGAACUUUGAAAAGAGAGUGAAAAAGUACGUGAAAUUGUUGAAAGGGAAGGGCUUGAGAUCAGACUUGGUAUUUUGUAUGUUACUCUCUCGGGGGUGGCCUCUACAGUUUACCGGGCCAGCAUCAGUUUGAGCGGUAGGAUAAGUGCAAAGAAAUGUGGCACUGCUUCGGUAGUGUGUUAUAGUCUUUGUCGAUACUGCCAGCUUAGACUGAGGACUGCGGCUUCGGCCUAGGAUGUUGGCAUAAUGAUCUUAAGUCGCCCGUCUUGAACCACGGACCA
rnacentral:rRNA from 1 species